rnacentral:rRNA from 1 species
AGCAUAUCAAUAAGCGGAGGAAAAGAAACCAACAGGGAUUGCCCUAGUAACGGCGAAGUGAAGCGGCAACAGCUCAAAUUUGAAAUCUGGCGUCUUUGGCGUCCGAGUUGUAAUUUGCAGAGGGCGCUUUGGCAUUGGCAGCGGUCCAAGUUCCUUGGAACAGGACGUCACAGAGGGUGAGAAUCCCGUACGUGGUCGCUAGCCUUUACCGUGUAAAGCCCCUUCGACGAGUCGAGUUGUUUGGGAAUGCAGCUCUAAAUGGGAGGUAAAUUUCUUCUAAAGCUAAAUACUGGCCAGAGACCGAUAGCGCACAAGUAGAGUGAUCGAAAGAUGAAAAGCACUUUGGAAAGAGAGUUAAAAAGCACGUGAAAUUGUUGAAAGGGAAGCGCUUGCAGCCAGACUUGCCUGUAGUUGCUCAUCCGGGUUUUUACCCGGUGCACUCUUCUGCGGGCAGGCCAGCAUCAGUUUGGGCGGUUGGAUAAAGGUCUCUGUCAUGUACCUCUCUUCGGGGAGGCCUUAUAGGGGAGGCGCAAUGCAACCAGCCCGGACUGAGGUCCGCGCAUCUGCUAGGAUGCUGGCGUAAUGGCUGUAAGCGGCCCGUCUUGAAACACGGACCAAGGAGUCUAACAUCUAUGCGAGUGUUUGGGUGUCAAGCCCGAACGCGUAAUGAAAGUGAACGGAGGUGGGAACCUUUCGGGGUGCACCAUCGACCGAUCCUGAUGUCUUCGGAUGGAUUUGAGUAAGAGCAUAGCUGUUGGGACCCGAAAGAUGGUGAACUAUGCUUGAAUAGGGUGAAGCCAGAGGAAACUCUGGUGGAGGCUCGCAGCGGUUCUGACGUGCAAAUCGAUCGUCAAAUUUGGGCAUAGGGGCGAAAGACUAAUCGAACUAUCUAGUAGCUGGUCUGCG